ACUAGGGUUUCGAGAGAGGCAAAUCUAGAGAGAGAGAGGCUUGCGGUAUGAUGAAAGGGUCGGAAUUGCGACGGAAAAGGAACGGCGGGAGGCACCAACGUGGAGGUGGUUGCAGCCUCUGGUUUCGUGACGGAGAUCGCAGCCGCAGCCGCAGCCGCAGCCGCUGUCAUCCUUUCCAAAUCAAAGAGACGGGAGAUGCUGCCGCAUUAGCUGUUCAUCUCUACAACAAAACACAUCUCAACAAAUACAGUGUAGUGGAAGUGCUGAGUGCAGCUGAAGUAGGACUUAUACUGAAUAUAAUUUUUACCGCUAAGCCUGAGCCUGAGGAGGAGGAGGAUUCUGCUUUUGAUGAUAAUGAGUAUCCCAUAUAUUUUCGAGCUUCCGUUAACAACCUUUAUACGUGUGUUGAGUAUGUUGAAAUUGUCCGUGAUGCUCACCUGCACGCUCUCGAUUAUAAUCUUCCGAAGAAGAAGGAGCCUGUAGAUAUGUUUCGAGAUGGCCCUGUCUUGUACGGCCCGGCCCAGAUUGCACCACCUGCUGUGAUGAUGAAACGAAGAAUAUUCUCAACGAAUCUACCGAUUUAGCUCUUCAAGUCCGCAACAAUACCCAUAUUAAAAAAUACAAUUUGCCGGUUCUGGUGAGUGCAACUGGACAUAUAUCCGGACAUAUAUCCACAGACUCUAACUCUAAGGUGGAUUUGAUGUUUACCGCCGAGCCUGAUCCUUUGCUGGAAGACAGUGAUGCGAAACCGAGAACUUUUCGAGCUCGGGUUUUCUUCCUACACAAGUAUGUAGAGUUUGUUGGUCUCCUCCCUCCUACCAACCUCACCUGCUAAUAAUAGGUAAUCGAUUUUUCAUUUUGCUUUUCUCAACCAAAGUUUCUUACUCUUCAUAUACCUAUGUACAUUUUAAUGAAUAGAGAAUCCUUAACUUCUUCUAAGACCACCAUCAAGAAAUCUAUUGUCUGAAACUGAUGAUUGAUUGCUCUGAUAAUCUUUUGUUUGGUUUGAUUUUAUUCUGUCUUGGAAUGUUAAUUUUUCAUACUUUCAUAGAAAAUUGCACCAUAAGACAUGUUAAAUAUGUGUUAGUGAAAAAUGUGUAUAGAAAAUUGCACCAUACGAUGUAUCAUGUAUGUCUUAGUAAAAAGUGUGUUAGCAAAAAGCUUACUUUGACCAUCGUAAUUUAAUUACAUACAGAUAAUAUAAUAUAAUUAUACUAACCAAAUAUUAAGUUGCAAUUCUUAAUUAUUGUAGCUCUUAGUUGGAUUGAUCAGUUUUACAGGGUUAUUUCUCAUAAAUAAGAGAAUUUUGAAACUUUGUGUUUUGACACUACCAUUAAAUUAGAAUGUAGUUAGAAUAAGAUUCAACUAUUGGAUAAAAAUUGAUUUGCCUAAACAUAUAACAUCGUCAGUAUAUAUAAGCCAAUUUGAUUAAUGGACUUUGGAAUCGGUUUUGCUCGAUAUAUUUAAUCAUAUAUACUCGCUAACCGAAAAUAUAUAUAUUUUUAUAAAUAAUUUACACUAGCCAUUUGAAAAGUUUUUACUUUUUUUAGUUGUGCGUACGUAUAUUUAUCUUUAUAGCCUGAUACAUGACAAAAUAAAUAAAAAGUUUAUAUCUUUUAGCAUGAAAACAUGAGAAGAGGUCAAUUAAUUGCAAUGUAGUAUGUGAAGUAUGUAGUCCUUCCAGUUACACUGCUUAACAACUUUCUAGCUUUAUAUGCUUUUACUAGCAUUUAACAUCUUUUUUGGUUUUUCGUUUGCAGGUGUUAAUUUCCAUAUAAUCAGAUUUUGAAUCUUUUUUUUUUAUUUGUGAAAAAUUAUGAUGGCGUGUGGUGGUCAAUACCGCGUAGAGAAGGCUGGAACAAAUGCUAUGCUUACGUAUUUCGACAAUUUGCAUGUUACUGCUACAUUUCUGUGCAUUUCACUACUGGUAAGAUGCUCUACUAUACCCUGAGUUUCUCAAUCAAUUACGAAAAAAUGAAAAUAUCUUGAAAUUGCUAU